GCUCCGGUGGCCUAGUGGCUAGAGAAACCGUCUCGGAUGCGGGAGGUCGCGGGUUCGAUCCCCGGUAGUCAUAGCA